rnacentral:rRNA from 1 species
UGGGGAAUCUUGGACAAUGGGCGAAAGCCUGAUCCAGCCAUGCCGCGUGUGUGAAGAAGGUCUUCGGAUUUUAAAGCACUUUAAGUUGGGAGGAAGGGCAGUAAGCGAAUACCUUGCUGUUUUCACGUUACCGACAGAAUAAGCACCGGCUCACUCUGUGCCAGCAGCCGCGGUAAUACAGAGGGUGCAAGCGUUACUCGGAAUUACUGGGCGUAAAGCGCGCGUAGGUGGUUCGUUAAGUUGAAUGUGAAAGCCCCGGGCUCAACCUGGGAACAGCAUUCAACACUGGCGGGCUAGAGUAGGGCAGAGGGUGGUGGAAUUUCCUGUGUAGCGGUGAAAUGCGUAGAUAUAGGAAGGAACCCCAGUGGCGAAGGCGACCACCUGGGCUCAUACUGACACUGAGGUGCGAAAGCGUGGGAAGCAAACAGG